AAGACAUGUUUGUUUAUUACUGUAAAUAAAAGUUCUCUAAUUCUUCCAGAAUAUGAUUCUUUACUGUUAACCCACGGAAUGUUUCAACAGAAGUAACAUAACAUGGUGUCAGAAGUGGUUCCGGAAGAAUAAUACGGGAGAAUCGAGAAUCGAAGAUAAUCGAAAAAAAAGAAGAAAAGUUCCAAUGGUAAUUGGUGAAAUGGAAGGUUUACAAACCCCACCAAAACUUCAGCUGACUGGGAAUGUAGCGGAGAAUUAGAAGAUCUUCAAGCAACAGUUUGAACUGUACUCAUCGGCGAUCGAUUAUGAAGAGAAAUCGGAUAAAACCAAAGCUGCACUUCUGCUCCAUAUAAUCAGGAAUGAAGCAGUAGAGGAAAGGAAGAUGUGAUUCUUCAGAGGUUCAGUUAACUGAUGUAGAUGAGACAAAACACGUAAAUAAUAACAAGGAAGGGAGGAUGUGGUGAUAUCACGUGCAAUGAUGUGCCAGUACGUGAUUGGGCAGCACUGAGCAUGCGUGGGGUUUGCCAGAACGUUUCAGCACGUGGCGGGGUUAAGGCAUGUUUGUUUAUU